GUGCUCGCUUCGGCAGCACAAUAUGAAAACUGGAAGGAUACGGACAGGAUAAUCAUGGCCCUUGUGCACGGAUGACAUGCAAAAUUUGGGAAGGGUCCAUAAUAUUG
rnacentral:snRNA from 1 species